rnacentral:tRNA from 2 species
UGGUGUAGCUCAAUUGGCAGAGCAGCUGACUUGUAAUCAGCAGGUUGCGGGUUCAAGUCCCAUCACC